GAUGAACGCUGGCGGCGUGCCUAAUACGUGCAAGUCGAGCGAACGGACGAGAAGCUUGCUUCUCUGAUGUUAGCGGCGGACGGGUGAGUAACACGUGGAUAACCCACCUAUAAGACUGGGAUAACUUCGGGAAACCGGAGCUAAUACCGGAUAAUAUUUUGAACCGCAUGGUUCAAAAGUGAAAGACGGUCUUGCUGUCACUUAUAGAUGGAUCCGCGCUGCAUUAGCUAGUUGGUAAGGUAACGGCUUACCAAGGCAACGAUGCAUAGCCGACCUGAGAGGGUGAUCGGCCACACUGGAACUGAGACACGGUCCAGACUCCUACGGGAGGCAGCAGUAGGGAAUCUUCCGCAAUGGGCGAAAGCCUGACGGAGCAACGCCGCGUGAGUGAUGAAGGUCUUCGGAUCGUAAAACUCUGUUAUUAGGGAAGAACAUAUGUGUAAGUAACUGUGCACAUCUUGACGGUACCUAAUCAGAAAGCCACGGCUAACUACGUG
rnacentral:rRNA from 1 species